rnacentral:rRNA from 1 species
GAUGAACGCUGGCGGCGUGCCUAAUACAUGCAAGUCGAGCGAACAGACGAGGAGCUUGCUCCUCUGACGUUAGCGGCGGACGGGUGAGUAACACGUGGAUAACCUACCUAUAAGACUGGGAUAACUUCGGGAAACCGGAGCUAAUACCGGAUAAUAUAUUGAACCGCAUGGUUCAAUAGUUAAAGACGGUUUUGCUGUCACUUAUAGAUGGAUCCGCGCCGCAUUAGCUAGUUGGUAAGGUAACGGCUUACCAAGGCAACGAUGCGUAGCCGACCUGAGAGGGUGAUCGGCCACACUGGAACUGAGACACGGUCCAGACUCCUACGGGAGGCAGCAGUAGGGAAUCUUACGCAAUGGGCGAAAGCGUGACGGAGCAAAGCCGCGUGAGUGAUGAAGGUCUUCGGAUCGUAAAACUCUGUUAUUAGGGAAGAACAAAUGUGUAAGUAACUAUGCACGUCUUGACGGUACCUAAUCAGAAAGCCACGGCUAACUACGUG